CUGCUGCCUCCCGUAGGAGUUUGGGCCGUGUCUCAGUCCCAAUGUGGCCGUCCACCCUCUCAGGCCGGCUACUGAUCGUCGCCUUGGUGGGCCUUUACCCCACCAACCAGCUAAUCUGACGCGGGCCCAUCUUGCACCACCGGAAUUUUUCACACCGGACCAUGCGGCCCUGUGCGCUUAUGCGGUAUUAGCACCUAUUUCUAAGUGUUAUCCCCCAGUGCAAGGCAGGUUACCCACGCGUUACUCACCCGUCCGCCACUAAAG
rnacentral:rRNA from 1 species